CGGAGCUUAUAAGGCAGCACGCUGCCGAAAUCGUCUGCAAUCCGGCCAGCAUCGCGCAAGCGGUGUGACGACCCGUCUUUACGCUGUAUCUAUCCAUACAGCCCUCUC
ncrna:unclassified sequences DTF3577 RNA